rnacentral:snoRNA from 1 species
CCCAGCUGUAGGCAACUGUCUAGGUUACGUGGUACUUAGGCAAGUGUUAUACUGCUGGGAGAAGAGCAACCAAUAGCUGGCACACACUCUGGGCUUGGUUAAUGCCAAAUUUGUGUUAACUAUACCAGUAUGCCAGCAUAGUUACCUAUUAAAUAUAGAUACAUAUAUU